rnacentral:rRNA from 1 species
AGUGAACGCUGGCGGUAGGCCUAACACAUGCAAGUCGAACGGCAGCACAGUAAGAGCUUGCUCUUACGGGUGGCGAGUGGCGGACGGGUGAGGAAUACAUCGGAAUCUACUUUUUCGUGGGGGAUAACGUAGGGAAACUUACGCUAAUACCGCAUACGACCUACGGGUGAAAGCAGUGGAUCUUCGGACCUUGCGCGAUUGAAUGAGCCGAUGUCGGAUUAGCUAGUUGGCGGGGUAAAGGCCCACCAAGGCGACGAUCCGUAGCUGGUCUGAGAGGAUGAUCAGCCACACUGGAACUGAGACACGGUCCAGACUCCUACGGGAGGCAGCAGUGGGGAAUAUUGGACAAUGGGCGCAAGCCUGAUCCAGCCAGACCGCGUGGGUGAAGAAGGCCUUCGGGUUGUAAAGCCCUUUUGUUGGGAAAGAAAAGCAGCAGGUUAAUACCCGGCUGUUCUGACGGUACCCAAAGAAUAAGCACCGGCUAACUUCGUG